UGGGGAAUCUUCCGCAAUGGACGAAAGUCUGACGGAGCAACGCCGCGUGAGUGAAGAAGGUUUUCGGAUCGUAAAACUCUGUCUUUUGGGGCGAACGUGAGUAUGGUGAACAAUCAUAGUCAGUGACGGUACCAAAGGAGGAAGCCACGGCUAACUACGUGCCAGCAGCCGCGGUAAUACGUAGGUGGCAAGCGUUGCCCGGAAUUAUUGGGCGUAAAGAGCGCGUAGGCGGGAUAGUCAGUCUGUUGUAAAAGUGCGGGGCUCAACCCCGUGAUCGCAAUGGAAACAGCUAUUCUUGAGUGCAGGAGAGGAAAGUGGAAUUCCCAGUGUAGCGGUGAAAUGCGUAGAUAUUGGGAGGAACACCAGUGGCGAAGGCGACUUUCUGGACUGUGUCUGACGCUGAGGCGCGAAAGCCAGGGGAGCGAACGGGAUUAGAUACCCCGGUAGUCCUGGCCGUAAACGAUGGGUACUAGGUGUGGGAGGUAUCGACCCCUUCCGUGCCGGAGUUAACGCAAUAAGUACCCCCGCCUGGGGAGUACGGUCGCAAGACUGAAACUCAAAUGAAUUGACGGGGUCAUAGCUGUUUCCUG
rnacentral:rRNA from 1 species